AUGGUGCUGCUGAUGCAAAGUCAUGCUCUAUGGAAAUCUGCUGACUCACUCCAGCAGGAUCAUGGCUCAUUUGUUUGUGUCAGACUCACAGAGCCGUGUCUCUCAGAGGUUUUUGUAAGACGACUCAACCAGUUUGUAUCACUGUGGUGGACGUUUGGUGGAGGAACCAGACUGGAGGUUGGAAGUGAUACCCGUCCCAUCCUGACGGUGCUGCCUCCCUCCAGUGAGGAGCUGCAGCAGGGGAAGGCCACGCUCAUGUGUCUGGCCAACAAGGGCUUCCCCUCAGACUGGAGUCUGUCCUGGAAGGUGGACGGCAGCAGCAGCAGCUGGGAGGAGGACAGGAGCCCCGUGGUGAUGAAGGACGGCCUCUACAGCUGGAGCAGCACCCUGAGGCUCACUGCAGACCAGUGGAGGAAGGUGGGCUCUGUGACCUGUGAGGCCACCCAGGGCUCCCAGUCUCCAGUCUCAGAGUCACUCAGGAGAGACCAGUGUUCCCAGUGAAAACAGGCUCACUGGACCUUUUCCCAUCAUUUUUUUCUUGCAAAUUUUAUCAUUGUCUGUAUUUUUGAUUGAUGUUUCCCAGAAUUAAACAGUUUCUUAUUUCAACAUCUGCACACAAUAAAUCAGAUUAAAUA